ACAUGUGAGAGGAAGGACAUACUGCAGCAGGAAGGCAACAGCUCUGUGUGAAGCCUGAGAGGAUGCUGGACUCUUCAGAUUCUGGAUCCCAGAGCAGUCUAACGGAGAGAUGUGGGAGCAGUGUCAGAGGCACAGAUACACAGGCAUCCUGCAAGACCAAGAAAGAGAUGCCGGGCAGCCCUGAGCAGCAGACAGCUGAGGGAAGCCAGGCUAGGGCUUCCUGUAGCUCCCGAGUUAAACUGUAUUUUCAGGAUUGCUGCCUUCUGCCGCAGUGAAAUUCUGAGAAAGUCAAGCUGCAGCCAUGAAA
rnacentral:lncRNA from 1 species